UUUAACUGAAGAGUUUGAUCAUGGCUCAGAUUGAACGCUGGCGGCAGGCUUAACACAUGCAAGUCGAGCGGUAACAGGGGAGCUUGCUCCUGCUGACGAGCGGCGGACGGGUGAGUAACGCGUAGGAAUCUACCUAGUAGAGGGGGACAACAUGUGGAAACGCAUGCUAAUACCGCAUACGCCCUAAGGGGGAAAGGAGGGGACUUUUCGGAGCCUUCCG
rnacentral:rRNA from 1 species